UACGUAGGGUGCAAGCGUUGUCCGGAAUUAUUGGGCGUAAAGAGCUCGUAGGCGGUCUGUCGCGUCUGCUGUGAAAACUCGGGGCUUAACCCCGGGCCUGCAGUGGGUACGGGCAGACUAGAGUGCGGUAGGGGAGACUGGAAUUCCUGGUGUAGCGGUGAAAUGCGCAGAUAUCAGGAGGAAUACCGAUGGCGAAGGCAGGUCUCUGGGCUGACACUGACGCUCAUGCACGAAAGCGUGGGGAGCAAACAGG
rnacentral:rRNA from 1 species